GAUGAACGCUGGCGGCGUGCCUAAUACAUGCAAGUCGAGCGAACGGACGAGAAGCUUGCUUCUCUGAUGUUAGCGGCGGACGGGUGAGUAACACGUGGAUAACCUACCUAUAAGACUGGGAUAACUUCGGGAAACCGGAUCUAAUACCGGAUGAUAUUUUGAACCGCAUGGUUCAAAAGUGAAAGACGGUCUUGCUGUCACUUAUAGAUGGAUCCGCGCUGCAUUAGCUAGUUGGUAAGGUAACGGCUUACCAAGGCAACGAUGCACAGCCGACCUGAGAGGGUGAUCGGCCACACUGGAACUGAGACACGGUCCAGACUCCUACGGGAGGCAGCAGUAGGGAAUCUUCCGCAAUGGGCGAAAGCCUGACGGAGCAACGCCGCGUGAGUGAUGAAGGUCUUCGGAUCGUAAAACUCUGUUAUUAGGGAAGAACAUAUGUGUAAGUAACUGUGCACAUCUUGACGGUACCGAAUCAGAAAGCCACGGCUAACUACGUG
rnacentral:rRNA from 1 species